UACGUAGGGGCAAGCGUUAUCCGGAUUCACUGGGCGUAAAGGGAGCGCAGGCGGCAUGGUAAGUCUGAUGUGAAAACCCGGGGCCCAACCCCGGGAGUGCGUUGGAAACUGCCAGGCUGGAGUGUCGGAGGGGUAAGCGGAAUUCCUAGUGUAGCGGUGAAAUGCGUAGAUAUUAGGAGGAACACCAGUGGCGAAGGCGGCUUACUGGACGACUACUGACGCUGAGGCUCGAAAGCGUGGGGAGCAAACAGG
rnacentral:rRNA from 1 species